GGCACAUUCCGAGCUUGGUCAAUCACCCCUGAAGUUUGAAUGAAGCUCCCAGGAAAUUGCAAGAGGCAUCGAAAGUCUGUAUAUAUGAUCAUUAAAACUCCCAACUCUUUGUUACAUCGGCCUCUUUAGUUAUCAAACAAUAUGGAUUUGCCAUUACCAAAGAGAAGAAAAAUCCAUUCGGAUUCCAUUAUUACUCAACAAGAAAAUGCCUCUCCUUCCUCUUCUCGUCUCACCCCUUCACGUCCAUACGAUGUGUUUUUGAGUUUUAGAGGUGUGGAUACACGAAACAACUUCACAGGCCAUUUGCACACUUAUUUGGAUCAGAAGGGAAUCAAUACAUUCAUAGAUGACGAAGAGCUUAGAAAAGGAGAAGAAAUAUCAUCUGCACUUCUCAAAGCAAUUCAAGGUUCAAAGAUUUCUAUAGUCAUCUUCUCUGAAAACUAUGCAUCCUCAAAGUGGUGUUUGGAUGAACUUGUUGAGAUCCUUCAAUGUAAGGAGUUGAAGCAACAACUGGUUUGGCCCGUUUUUUACAAGGUGGAUGUCUCCGAUGUACGGUACCAGAAAGGUAAAUAUGGUGAGGCACUUGCGAAACAUGAGUUCAGAUUCAAAGACAACAUGGACAAGGUGAAAAGAUGGAGGACGGCUCUUAGGGAUGCAGCUAAUAUAUCAGGGUGGACUUUCUCCGACGGGCAUGAAGCUAAUUUCAUUAAUAAGAUUGCUGAAAAGAUUUCAGCAGAAGUAGCAAAACUUAGCUAUUUAGAUGUGGCAAAGCAUCCCGUUGGAAUAGAGUCUCGUUUACAAGAUAUGCUUGAGCUUUUAGAUGUCGGGGGAAGUGAUGUUCGCAUGGUUGGUAUAUGGGGUAUUGGCGGGAUAGGCAAAACAACAAUUGCUAAAACUGUUUACAACUCAAUUGCUCGUAAGUUUGAAGGUUGUUGUUUCUUGGGAAAUGUUAGAGCCAAUUCAGUACCCCAUCAAGGCCUAGUUCGACUACAAAAUAAUCUUCUUUAUGAGAUUUUAGGGGGCCGAAAAAUGAAGAUGACCGAUGCUGAUAGAGGAAUCCAGGUGAUAAAGGAAAGGUUAGGUAGUAAAAGGGUUCUCUUAGUUCUAGAUGAUGUGAAUAAAUUGAACCAGUUGGACAAAUUAGCUGGAGGAUUGGAUUGGUUUGGUUGUGGCAGCAGAAUUAUCAUAACAACAAGAGAUAAACGUUUGCUAAUUGCUCAUCAAGUCUAUCCAAUAUACACAGCCAAGGCAUUAGAUAAUGAUGAAGCCCGUAACCUCUUGAUUUUGAAUGCCUUCAAGGAUAACAGAAAUCCAGAUGAGUGUGUGCAAUUCCCAAUUGAUACUGCUUUACUCUAUACUCACUGCCUUCCAUUAGCUGUGAACAUUUUAGGUUCACAUCUCUGUGGCAAGAGCAUAAAUCAAUGGCAUGCUGCAUUAGAUAAUUACAGAAAGUUUCCUAAUUGUGAUAUCCAAAAAGUCCUCGAAACAAGUUACAGUGCAUUGGAAGAUCCGUUGAGAGAAGCAUUUCUUGACAUUGCAUGUUUCUUAAAAGGUAGACAUAAGGUCUAUGUUAUGCAAGCACUAGAUGAUUCUUACCUCAACCCUGUACAUGCUAUUGAAGUACUUGAAGAAAAGGCCCUCAUAAAUACUGAUGAAUCUGGUAAGAUUUGGAUGCAUGACUUGCUAGAGAAAAUGGGGAAAGAAAUAGUUCGUAAAGAGUCACCCGAAGAUGCUGGCAGACGUAGCAGACUAUGGUUUCAUGAGGAUGUUUAUCGUGUUUUGACUGAAAACAUAGGCUCAAAUAAAGUUAAAGGCAUCAGAGUAGAGCUACCAAGAGAAGAUGAGAUAUGUCUGAGUGCUAAAUGCUUUAAAAAGAUGAAAAAUCUUCAACUUUUUAUAAACAUUAAUGCACGCUUCUCUGGAGAGGUUAAUUAUCUCCCAAAUCAGUUGAGGUUCCUUGAUUGGCUUGGAUUCCCAGCACAAUCUUUGCCAUCCAACUUCAAUCCACAAAAACUGGUCAAGCUCGAUAUGCCAAACAGUCACAUCUCACGACUUGGGCAAGGAUUCAAGAAUUUACAAAAUUUAAAAUCUCUAAGUUUUGAAAAUUGCAAAUUCCUAACUGAGGUCCCUAACUUGGCUGGAAUGUUCCCAAACUUGGAGAUGUUGAAUUUAAGUUUCUGUACCAGUUUAGCUGAAUUGCAUCCUUCUGUUGGAUUCCUUGAUAAGCUUGUUAAAUUCAAUAUUAGGAAUUGCUAUAAUCUUAAGAUGUUUCCAAGAAUAGUCAACAUGAAAUCUCUGCAAGAUCUUGAUUUGAGAAACUGCAAGAGGCUUGAGAACUUCCCACAAAUUGUGGGAAGGAUGGAAUCCUUGACAACCAUGAAUCUAGCUGGAUCCGCCAUCAAAGAAUUGCCUUCAUCAAUUGGAUAUAAUCUCUUUAAUCUUCAAUCUUUGUAUUUAGGAAAAUGUAAAAACCUUACGAAUCUGCCGCUCAGCAUUUAUGAGAUGAAAAGGCUUGAGUUUCUUAUACUCGUAGAUUGCCGAAAACUGGUGCUACCUCCAUUUCCGAAGAAGGUGGAAUACUGUGAAGUGCCAACUCCAAGGUCCAGCUCAAAGAUUUCACGUUACGGCAAGGCAACUUCAUCAGAAAUAGAGAGUGAUUGUGACGGUGGUGGUGGUGGUGGUGAUGAUGAUGAUCAAGGCAAUUUAGCGUUUCCUUCACUACGUUUAUUCUUUGCAGGAGGUUGUUGUAGUUCGGACCCUGAUUUUAUUAUGAGGCUUGGUUGUGCAUCCACGUUAACAGCACUUUUUUUUCCAGAAAGCAAUAUUGUUAGUCUUCCUGCUUGCCUUACCAAAUUUGUCAACUUGGAGCAGCUUAACUUGAAUGGGUGCGAGAGGCUUCAAGAAGUUUCAGAGCUUCCACCAAGGUUGAAACUGUUAGAUGUGACAGACUGCGUAUCAUUGGAAAGAAUUUCAAAGUUAUCAAACAUUUUGAAACAUGAAGAAUCGCAAAUGUUUGAGUGGCUGGACUUGACCAAUUGCUGGAGACUGUUUGACAAUCUGAUUCAGCAGGUGGCAGAGAAGAAAGGUUUGUUGGUAAAUGGUGAUGGUCAUCAGGUGGAGGCUGAUCUCUUCUCUCUUUUUCUCUCUUCUCAGAAGUCUGAAUUCGGGGUUGUACUUCCAGGUUAUGAAAUUCCAAAGUGGUUCAGCUGUCAAAUGGAUUUCAAAGGGAAUGGACUGUUUGAAUGUGAUAUUCAAGUCCUUCCUAAUUUCAAAUGGCAGAACACAGGAUUGGCUCUAUGUGUUGCUGCCGAACGGAUGGUAGAUUGGGGAUUCAAAAUUUCUCUCAACCAAGUACUACUGCCGAUUUAUAGUUUAUAUGAUCAUAUUCGUUUUCAGAAUAGAUCCUAUUUUCGGCUUCCUAGUCUCAUUUGGGGAGCUGAUCCGGCUCGUGUGUGGCUGUUAUAUAUUCCGUUCGAUAGAAUUGAUAUGGGUCUGUUUGGUUCUCAGCGUCCGCUGCCACCUUUUCAAUGUCGAGUUAGUAUUUAUCAAAGACUCCGUUAUAACAUGGUUCCCUGGAAAAGCUGCGGAGUGCACCUGGUAAUGCCACCCAAAGAAGAGUAUAUGAAACUAUCCCACGCACAGAACCUCAGGAAUAGCCUCAAAGCAGGUCUCUUUUUGUUCGUUGUGGAGACUUUAUUUUUAAUUUUAUUUUUAUCGAUUAUGGUGUUUUCUCGGUUAGGACUUGAGUUGACUGCCGGAUAUUGUAGAACUCAUUAUGCAGUUUUUCUUUGCUAUUGGUGCUAGUUGAUAACUUUCCCCAGUUUUCAAAACAGAUGACAAGUAUUCUGAUGAAAGCAGAUCAAGGGACUAUAGCGAGUGGGCGAAUAGGUCAAGAGAAGAAGGACCAUCAGGACUCAAGAUCUUUAAUUGGGAUUAAGUGAAAUGGCCGGUCACAAGAUUGCUGAUGCUGAAGGACCAAGUGUUGUCAAUGAGAUCUGUAGCAUCACUGCCCUUGCUUUAAUGCAUCACUCGCCAGAAUGACCACAGAAAAGUGAAGCCACUAAUUCUAUGACUUGCUGGAUAAAGGUGAAGAAACCAGUCUUGUUGAUCAAGUGAGAUGCUAAACUGCUAUAUUAGCCCAUCAUGAAUUCACGGGCACUUCCAAGUUUCAACAGUGUUGUUUUGAACAGAAAUUGUUGUUUGCUUCAUUGUGAUUUUAACCAGGCUUCUGUACGUUUUUCUUUUGACAAAUAAAUGGUUCAUAAUAUGUAAAAUCAAAGUUGACCAUCCACUGCUCAUCGUCAUACAAUUUAUGUGUAACAGAUCCAAAACACCCACAAAAAUUCAUCGAAUCACU